UACCACUGGCGCAAGGGUGAGUAACGCGUAGAUUAUCUGCCUCUUUCUUUGGGAUAACGUAGGGAAACUUGCGCUAAACCCGAAUGAGGCCUUAGGGUCAAAGGAAACGGAAAGAGAUGAGUCUGCGUCUGAUUAGGUAGUUGGUAGGGUAAUGGCCUACCAAGCCAACGAUCAGUAACUGGUCUGAGAGGAUGAUCAGUCACACUGGAACUGAGACACGGUCCAGACUCCUACGGGAGGCAGCAGUGAGGAAUUAUGGUCAAUGGGGGAAACCCUGAACCUGCGACGCCGUGUGCACGAUGAAGGGGCUUUGCCUUGUAAAGUGCUGUCGGGUGGGAAAAAAAGAGCUAUGAAGCUCCGGGAUUGUACCACCAAAGGAAAGACCGGCUAACUACGUGCCAGCAGCCGCGGUAAUACGUAGGGUCCGAGCGUUGUCCGGAUUUACUGGGUAUAAAGGGUCCGCAGGCGGACCUGUGCGUCGAGGGUUAAAUCCCACAGCCUAACUGUGGAGCUGCCCUCGAUACGGCGGGUCUUGAAUACGAGAGAGGUAAGUAGAAUUCCUGGUGUAGCGGUGAAAUGCGUAGAUAUCAGGAGGAAUACCAGUGGCGAAGGCGGCUUACUGGCUCGUUAUUGACGCUCAGGGACGAAAGCGUGGGAGCAAACAGGAUUAGAUACCCUGGUAGUCCACGCUGUAAACGAUGGGCACUAGGUGUUCGGGGUAUUGACCCCCUGAGUGCCGCAGCUAACGCAUUAAGUGCCCCG
rnacentral:rRNA from 1 species